rnacentral:rRNA from 1 species
GACGGGGGGGGCAAGUGUUCUUCGGAAUGACUGGGCGUAAAGGGUACGUAGGCGGUGAAUCGGGUUGAAAGUGAAAGUCGCCAAAAAGUGGCGGAAUGCUCUCGAAACCAAUUCACUUGAGUGAGACAGAGGAGAGUGGAAUUUCGUGUGUAGGGGUGAAAUCCGUAGAUCUACGAAGGAACGCCAAAAGCGAAGGCAGCUCUCUGGGUCCCUACCGACGCUGGGGUGCGAAAGCAUGGGGAGCGAACAGG